CCAAGUUUGCAUCAGAGAGAAGGAGGAAGUGACAUGAAGUGCCUUGACAGCAGUGGAUUGUUAUCCAGUGACAUACAAACCAAACAUCAGGGGUGACAUAUAAACUCUUUCAGGAGCAUUUUUAUAAUGACAUCCUAGUAACUUCCUAAUGUAGAGGCGUUUAUAAAAUGCCUCCAUCUGAAUAUACAGCUUCAUCAUAACCAGCUAAUUAGUCACAGUGAAUUAAAUCUAGAUGAUUUGGGAUUCUGCAGGAAUGUGACCUCUGAACCAAAAUGUCUCCAAGUGUGGUAAAGCCAGAAACUUCCUUACUUUUGGGGACAUUUUUCCAGGUCCUCAUUUGUAUAAUCUUGAAAUUGUAAAAAUGUGUGAAUGCAAUCCGUCAGAGUUUCCGAUCUCCUUAUCUGAGUGGAGUCUUUUGGCUGAUGCGUGUUCCCUUGUUCGUGGAUCCAAAUAACUAAAAAACGACUGGCUUCAGUUUUAGUUA